GGUCUGAUAGCUCAGUUAGUUAAAGCACUUGCCUGAGCAGUUUUAAAUCUGCUGAGGUCUAGAGUUCAAUUCUCUUUCAGAAUU